AUUGAACGCUGGCGGCGUGCUUAACACAUGCAAGUCGAGCGGUAAGGCCCUUUCGGGGGUACACGAGCGGCGAACGGGUGAGUAACACGUGGGUGACCUGCCCUCAGCUCUGGGAUAAGCCUGGGAAACCGGGUCUAAUACUGGAUAUGACUCCAUGACGCAUGUUGUGGGGUGGAAAGCCUUGUGCGGCUGAGGAUGGGCCCGCGGCCUAUCAGCUUGUUGGUGGGGGNGAU
rnacentral:rRNA from 1 species